rnacentral:rRNA from 1 species
UAGGGAAUCUUCCGCAAUGGACGAAAGUCUGACGGAGCAACGCCGCGUGAGCGAAGAAGGCCUUCGGGUCGUAAAGCUCUGUUGUUAGGGAAGAACAAGUACGAGAGUAACUGCUCGUACCUUGACGGUACCUAACCAGAAAGCCACGGCUAACUACGUGCCAGCAGCCGCGGUAAUACGUAGGUGGCAAGCGUUGUCCGGAAUUAUUGGGCGUAAAGCGCGCGCAGGCGGUCCUUUAAGUCUGAUGUGAAAGCCCACGGCUCAACCGUGGAGGGUCAUUGGAAACUGGGGGACUUGAGUGCAGAAGAGGAGAGUGGAAUUCCACGUGUAGCGGUGAAAUGCGUAGAGAUGUGGAGGAACACCAGUGGCGAAGGCGACUCUCUGGUCUGUAACUGACGCUGAGGCGCGAAAGCGUGGGGGAGCAAACAGGAUUAGAUACCCUGGUAGUCCACGCCGUAAACGAUGAGUGCUAAGUGUUAGAGGGUUUCCGCCCUUUAGUG